rnacentral:tRNA from 2 species
CCGACUAGUUCCGGGUUCAAAUCCCGGGUAACCCA